UUGUCCCUGCGGUGCGCGUGAGGGUCAAGUUAAAAAGAACCAACACUCUAAAAAUGGGAGCUAACGUCUAAUUGCCCUUGGGCACUUUAGCCAUGUUCCCACCUGGUGACUCGGUUCACCUUUAACUUUUCCCAACGGCAUUGCGGGGAUUUU
rnacentral:other from 1 species